UUUUGCUUUAACCCACAAGGAUGAACUAAGCAGGCUUCCAAGCAAGAGAACUUUGGAGCACUUGUAGGUAGAAAGGAGGAUGAAUUUCCUCCUACGGUAAAAUGUGAGCCUUCCUAUGAUUUCUCUUGUUGAAACUUCCAUGAAAAGAGAACAGUACAAGAACACAAGUGAACUAUCCUGUCUACCUCCAAGCAGAACAACAGGAGAUUUUACUUUGAAAUGGACCUGCCAAUAACAGAGCAGCUCACUCAUUUGGGAAAUUCCAGAAAAUCCUUCAACAGAAAAACCCCACUGCAAUUUAGAUUUGGAGUGGAAUUACUGGGGAAGGGACAACACUACCCAGAGAGUCCAGAAAGACUGCACCGACAAAGUAUUACCUGGGCUGAAUGUUCAAGGAUGAACAAGAUUUUGUCAUAUAGAGGAGGAGGAUGAGGGUUAGCUAGCCAGCGGGCAGAGGAGGGGAGGAGAGAAGAGAGUUGGUGUUCGCAUGUGUGUAAGAAAGAAAUGAACAGGUUUUAGUGCUAAAAGAGAACUGAAGGCUGAAGAUCAGGAUUCAGUGUCUCUGUUUGGAGAAGGAAGACCUGAGGGGUUGCUCUGGAGCUGCGGGUCAUGCAAAGACAUUUGUCAGCAAGAAAUCUUUUCGGGACAGAAGUUUGUUUUGAAAACAGGUUAAAGUUCUCACAGGAUGAUUCUAGUGGCAGAGUGGCUUGGUUUGAGUUUCUGGCAAGGUGACCAGAGGACCAACUUAGAAAACUAUUACAACUGUCGAAAACAAACAAACAAAAGAACGAACCAAUGAAGUGAAAGGAGGGUGAACGGGACAAGGAUGAAAGGAGCCCCAGAUGGUAAAACGAUUUGCCUAGGAUGGCAAAGGCAGGCUUCCUGGCUCGCAAUCCUGUGGUUUCUCGUGCUCAGCUCUCUUUACCACUGUAUUGUCGUUUGCUAUCAUUUGCUUUUCUCAAGAAUAUAUGGCCUUUUAUCUCCCAUUUCCACACUGCUGAUAGGGUGUCACUUCUCUGAAAUACCACUCCACUAAGUGCAUUCUGAUGUGCACUGUUCGUAAACUUGUUGAAGAUAGGCUUUCCUCCCUAAAAUUGAAUUUGGUCCAUUAUUGGAUUAAUUAAUUAAUCAGGUCCAUUAUUGGAUUAGGUCUUUUCCAGAUUCCUGCUUUGAAUCUAACUUUGGUUGUUUCUCUACAGAUGAUUUCCCAAAAUACAUUUAAGUGGAGUGCUCAGGCUAAACAUGCCUUCUCCUCAUCCACUACAAUUUUGUUUGGAUGAAAUAAACUAUGACAUGAAGAAACUUCCAAAAGACCCCUUACUUCUUCUCCAAAUGAGCCGGAUUCUGAGCAAGAUACAACCGUUGUAUAACCCAUGAAGAACAUUAUGACCUAAGUAGUUCAUUAAAAAUUAACAUGAUUUUUUUCAAUGUCAUGAAGAUUGUGUUGAAUUUGAAAGAUGGACAUAAUAUGCCUAACUAGAAAAAAAAUCAGUAUAAAGUGCUUCUGUGAAUAUAUGAUCCUAACCCUGCAUUGAACAGGUAUAGCAUCCUAGUUUCUCAUAGCUGCGCCAAUACCAAGAUACUAUAUAAUGUAGACACUCUUAACAGAGUAACCAAAAUCACUGAUAUUUGUACAAAUAAAGUCUCACUCAUAUUAACAGUUAACUUUGGAGUUUGAUUCAAACAACUUCAGCAGUUCGAUCACAGUUUGGGAGUGGCAAGGGCAUGAGACUGAGUACGUUUACACUCUCUCAUAUGUCCUUGUGCAGAUGAUAUUGUUCACAGCACUUUCCUGGAAGAUAAAAAGAGGGAGAAUUAUCUCAGUAUUGUUGAGGAAAUGAACACCUGGAAAAAUAUAAACUAGGUGCUGUCCAUAUACACCAUUCCUUAAAAAUCUUGAAAAGAGAUAUAUAGGUGAUAUUCAUUGAUAUCAUAUAUAAGGUGUGUAUAUUAUAUACAUUGGUAUACAUAUAAAAAAGUAAGGCAUACACUGAGAAUCUAAAGUCCUACUUAAAAUAUCUUAAAUGCCUACAUUGAGGCAUUUUUGCUAUUUUACAUGUUUGGUGUUUUUCAGAUAAUAAUACCAAUUUAGAUCAAUGCCUCAUUUUAUGGUUUCAGAACACGGAUUUAUGUACAUGAUGAUAUUUAAUGCUCCUAGAAAACUUGUGAAGGUACUGUCUACAUCUUAAAGGCAAGGAAUCUUAAUUUGGGGAAGGAUAAAUGACUUGUCCAAAGUCACAUACAUACUGAAUGGCAGAAAUGAAAAUCCACACCCUUGGAUUCCGAGUUUAUUGUUCUUUCUAAUGAACUCUGUUUAUUGGCUAUUUAUUGAACUAUUUAUUUGCCUGUUCAUUGGUUAAUAUCAUUAUCAGAAUCAAUAAAAUCAGUCAUUCUUGA